GUAGGGUGCGAGCGUUAAUCGGAAUUACUGGGCGUAAAGCGUGCGCAGGCGGUGAUGUAAGACAGAUGUGAAAUCCCCGGGCUCAACCUGGGAACUGCAUUUGUGACUGCAUCGCUGGAGUGCGGCAGAGGGGGAUGGAAUUCCGCGUGUAGCAGUGAAAUGCGUAGAUAUGCGGAGGAACACCGAUGGCGAAGGCAAUCCCCUGGGCCUGCACUGACGCUCAUGCACGAAAGCGUGGGGAGCAAACAGG
rnacentral:rRNA from 1 species